AUCUUUAGCCCUGCUAUCACUUCUCUGUUAUUCCAAUUGCGAAUCCUAAGCAUUUUGAUGGCAUCGGUUUCAAUUUAGUCUCUUGGUUAACUUGAUGUCACAGCAGUUUCAUUUUCUUGGGGAUCAAUGAUUCAAUAAAAAUGAAGCUCUAAUUUCUUCUUAACCCAGGUAUAUAUGACUCUGUAUUUUUCAGUUGAGAGAAUAUUUCUAGAUUUGAAAGCACGUGUGAUCCCGAAGCAAGUUCAUCAUAGAUUUAUGAUCUUUAAAAACUGAGCUUGAUAGCAUUACAGUUCCAUGGUGGGAAGAGCUUCCUACACAUUGGGAGGAUCCUACUUCGAACCACUUUUGUGGAAUUUGUAUUUCUUCACGGUACAGAGACACAAGUUAUUUAUUAAGACUUUAUAAAAAUUGAAAUAUCCUGCUUGACUCGACUUACAACGCAAAGCGUUUUGAUUUUGGAUUAGCAAAAGGUGGUCCUAUUGCCAAUUUCUCUACAGCAAGAGAGAGUACUGGCUUUGACAAACAAUUUUGAAGCACUGAGUUGCUAUGAUGAAGCAGAAUUACAACAGCACGUGACAAAUCUGCUGCA